GACGAACGCUGGCGGCGUGCUUAACACAUGCAAGUCGAACGGUAAACGCGGGCGCUUGCUCUCUCCGCGACUGUCGAGCACGGGUGAGUAACAUGUGAGCAAUCUGCUUCGAACUCUGGGAUCAGCGUUAGACACGAGGUAUAAUACCGGAUACGCCCCGGGUGGACAUCGUCUCCUGGUGGAAAGAACCGCGGUUGGGGAUGAGCUCGCGGCCUAUCAGCUUGUUGGUGAGGUAACGGCUCACCAAGGCGACGACGGGUAGCCGGCCUGAGAGGGUGACCGGCCACACUGGGACUGAGACACGGCCCAGACUCCUACGGGAGGCAGCAGUGGGGAAUAUUGCACAAUGGGCGGAAGCCUGAUGCAGCAACGCCGCGUGAGGGACGACGGCCUUCGGGUUGUAAACCGCUUUUAGCAGUGAAGAAGCGAAAGUGACGGUACCUGCAGAAAAAGCACCGGCUAACUACGUG
rnacentral:rRNA from 1 species